rfam:Hordeum vulgare subsp. vulgare, WGS project CAJW01000000 data, contig: morex_contig_292663
GGAGCAGUAGCGCAGUGGAUGUGCUUGUGUGUGGAGUGCAGUAGGGCAUGGGUUCGAAUCCCCUCUGCCCCC